GCCAUCUUGGACAGGCUUACCCAAGCAAAGUUGGCAAAGAAUUCGGACCAGAGCUCUACUUCAUAAUUAUCUGGGAGGCUGGGAGCUCAAAUGCAUCAUUCUACUGCGACUCUGAGCUGGAAGUAAUCAGAAAAUAUAACACCCAAUGCAUUUUUUAAUAGGUAAAGCAUAAAACUCAAUGCUAGCAUAUAUUAGAAGAAAAAACUUACUUUAAAGCCUUUCUUGACGGGAGUUUUUCAAGAUUUAGAGUCAUCGAGUUCAAAAUGGAUGUAACAUGUUAUAUGUUCACAUUUUUUAUUUUCUUAUUACGUAUGUGUAAGUGAUUCGACUCGAAAAUAGUGGAUUCAAUUAGUUCUAAUUGAAUCCUCUAUAGAUAUGCAUUCACCAUAGGUCCAUAGCAUAUGCAUCACUUUGAUUGAAAAUGGAAGCAUUGUCAAGCAACUGAAUUCAUGGAUCACUAGUUCAUUAAGGGGCAGCAUUUCCAAUUGAAAGAAGGGGUACAGUGGAUU
rnacentral:misc_RNA from 1 species